UCCCUCUGCUCCAGUCGAAGACGUGUUGCUGUCGCCCUGCUCAACAGUCAUCGAGCUGCAGGAGUUCAACAGGAGAGGAGGAACAAAAUGCAACUUUUUCUGACAACCUUUCAACCAAUGACAUUGUAAAACCGUAUAGCCUGCAGGGCAGAAAGACAAAGGCCUUCCAGGACCUGACAAUCUGCAGGGUUAUAACAG